CCCACCGAUGACGUAAGAGUAGGCGGAGCUUCCUCCGUCAGUCAUGCUUACGGGGGCGGGCUUCCUCCGCUGGGCCUGGAGUUAGCGGGAAUCGAAGUUCGGUAAGUCGUGUGAGGAUUGAAGAGGGUAAGCAGUUCCGCAUGUUUGUCCAUUUUUACAGAUUAUACAAAUCGAUGGCGGCAUGAAAGGUCGUGCUGGAAGGCCCGAACCGCCGGAUGACCGCACGGACCGAAGAGUCGCCCACGGAGUCGAAUUUAAAUAACGUCAUUGAGAGCGGAAAACGGACGUCGGACCACGGAUCCCGUUUAUUGUGUCCCACUCACAGUCAAGAGACGGAGUGCAUGACGUCAUCGUGUGAGGGUCUCGGCUCUGCACGACCCCACGUGCUGCUGCUCUUCUGAAGUCCCUGCGAUGGGGCCACGUGUCACGUGGCUGGAAAAUGUCCACUUUUCCCCCUGUUAACGGGCAGCCUUGCGGAGGACGUGACGGCCACACGGGAGAAUUUAUCGAGGAACCGUCCAAGCAUCAUGCCUCCUCGUCAUCACCCAAUCCUGGAGACCCUGAGGUGCACCUGCAGAACAUCAACGGUGUCUCUCCGUUGCCAGAGCGCUGGUGAGGGCUGCACCGCUGAAUACGCCGGUUCGGUCGACCGCAAUUUGUCUGUUGACCACUCGCAUCUGGAGACGGACGGCUCGUCUGUAUCGGAGCGUUCGAGGACCUCUCACGGAGGACCGGCACCCAUGAGUCGUCAAAGGAAUGACGGUUGUCAGCCGUUGCCACUUGCAAACCCCCAGCAAAGCCGCUGCUGCUCUAACCUCUCACCGAUCUCGUUCGGACAAACGACUGCGUCGGCUGUUGAGUUGGAGGAGGACGACUCUGAGUUAGCCAAGCUGCAUCCAAAUGUCGCAACAAGACCCCCUUUGUGUUUCAUCAAUAAUGCAUUGGAUGUGUUGGGCAAAAGCCGGAGGCGGUCGUUCGAUGACAAGGAGCUGGAGAAACAAUUGUCUGAAUGUGAGAGGCACAUCCAGGGUGAGUUCUUCUUUCAACAAUUGCUGCAGCGUAACCCCCCCCCCCAAAAAAAAAAAAUGUGGAUAAUAUCUAUGGAUGGUGAAUCAUUGAAUAAACAUUGUUGUCCUGAUCUGUGUGACCUGCUAUCAGUAAGUGUUUACAACUUAGUACAAUGGAAGCUUUUCACAACAUUUAUUUUGGGGAAAGUUCCUUUGAGUUAUCAGUGCUGCUGUAGCUCCAGCUGUGGCUGCGUGUCACAAAGGGUACAAAUUGUCGUCCUUAUUUCGAUGCGAUGAACACUUAAAUUGUAUUGUGUUGCAUUAUGUAAAAUAUGAUUAGUUUUGUUGUCGAUGCUGGAUAUUUUGAGUGUUUUUCAGUGGGUAUGUAAAAUUUGUUUGUGACAAAGCCAUGGCAGCUGCUGUUGAAAUGGACAGAUGUCUGUCACUGAGCUCGUGUCGAUGUAUCGAUUUGAUCUCCUCUUACACGCGAUGCCUGCUAAUGCAGUUCGGACACUUUCACGAGGUCACUGUAGAAAUCAUCUCAGCACCUGUGUCCCAUUUGGAAGAGUUUUCUUUCUCCGUUGGCGAGUGUGGGUUCGACUCCCAUGGCCGCUCGAUCGAGCCAAACCACACUUUGGCAAGUGUGACGAGUAUUCCAAACAACGCUCAACAUGAGUGGUUGGAGGUCUUUGUCAUGCAGUGGACUGGAACAGGCUGGUUUGCUGGAAUACAAGACUUUGGUUAUCAUGGUGAGAUGAGACAUAGCAUCCUCUUUGCAGCAUCAGUGCUGUCGAAGCAGGUUUUUUGCCAAGCGUUGGGCUGGGUGGUUUGCCAUUGCCUUCUCGGCAGGUGUCCAGCAAUGACGAGUGCCGGUAUAUGGGUUCGUCGGCUUAACGUCCUCCUAAUGGAUGAUGCACAUGCCGGUCCAUCGUCCUGCAUGCGAAACACCAGGGUGAGUUUUUUUUUUAUCGCUGGAUUGAGAUUCAUACCCAGGCGAGACGACUCAGAUGGGGAGUGUGCAUACCUCGAAGCCAUCCUGCCAACCUGUUGGUUUUCAUACCAUCCCAAACAAGAAAGAGCAGAGAUUGCAGAUCUUGGCAAGGAUUUGUUUGGUUUGCUGCUCUAUUACAUCAUUAACAAUAGACAUAAUUAAUACAUAAUUAGUAGAUGUACUCACAUUCCGAUAAUACGUAAUUGGUAGAUGUACUCGCAUUCCAAUGGUACAUAAUUAAUCGACGUACUCACAUUCCAAUGGUACAUAAUUAAUAGAUGUACUCACAUUCCAAUGGUACAUAAUUAAUCGACCAACAUAUAUUCUGUGCAGACAGACAGACAGACACAUAAACAAAAGGACUCAAAUGUAAUACACUCUUCUGGUGAGGACAAAUGUACGUCGAGCGAGUCAGCUGAAAAUGUCCACUGUGCUACUUUCUCAAAAGCCGAAAGAAAAAUUCACACACAACACAACACACACCGAACACGAUGUCUAAUGUCAAUUACUUCAAUCGUAGUGAUGUUUGGUCUGUCGUUCACAAGAUCUACUCGUUAACUUCAUGAAAAGUUUAACCAGUCCAGGCCAAGCCAUCCUCCACAGGUCCAGGCCAAGCCAUCGUAAGCUUGCAGACACGUUUGAUAAAUGGAAAUUAGUAACCGACCGGAUUUCCCUUCACAUAACUGUAUGAUAAAGCAAACUUCUGGAUUAUACUCUGAAAUAUCAAACAAUGCCAGAUUUUAAAAAUCUCGACUGAUGGGGAAAAUUAUAAAGAAGAUAUUUUUUGAAUCUGGGCGGAGUAUUGGCAACAGAUUGCUGCCCUGAUCGAUCUCAAGAACGUAAUUGUGCACAACAACCACACAUACACUACACCAGGGUUCGAAUGAAUAUCCCACUGCUGAACUUGAACGCCGUUUGUGACGAUGCGAAGCGAAAACCUUCAUCAUGGGAUCCAGAAAUGACCAAUUUUUGGAUUUGGAUUUUGGUUUGAUUUCAAUGAUGACUGAUGUCACUUUGUUGUUACUUUGAACGUGCGAGACCUCAUCUUCUUUUCAAGUCAACACAGUUUUGAGUAUUCGAAUGGAUCGCAUCAGGCCAGCAAGUGAACUUCCUUUCUUUGUUCCGUUGAAGUAUUUAAAGAUUUUGUUUUUUUUUUCCAGGACACGUAGCUCGUGAAAGUCUUGCCUUUCUCAACCUGGUACUUUCUCCAACAUUAAACCAAAUGCUUGUAAAUGUAAUAAAUUUAACUUAUUUUUCACAUUUCUUAUUGACAGUGGAAACAUUUGGCGACAGAAAGGCUGCUGGAUUAAUCCGUCAGUGUUAAACAUGAGAUUUAAAAUAAGCCUGUCGGUCUAAUUUCAAACGUGACCAUUUGUAACCUUUGUCAAAAAUCA
rnacentral:lncRNA from 1 species